CAGUCGCCGCGGGAAUACGUAGGGUGCGAGCGUUAAUCGGAAUUACUGGGCGUAAAGCGUGCGCAGGCGGUUGUGUAAGACAGGUGUGAAAUCCCCGGGCUUAACCUGGGAACUGCGCUUGUGACUGCACAGCUAGAGUAUGGCAGAGGGGGGUGGAAUUCCACGUGUAGCAGUGAAAUGCGUAGAGAUGUGGAGGAACGCCGAUGGCGAAGGCAGCCCCCUGGGCCAAUACUGACGCUCAUGCACGAAAGCGUGGGGAGCAAACAGGAUUAGAUACCCGAGUAGUCCCUGUCUCUUAUAC
rnacentral:rRNA from 1 species